AGCGGCCGCGGUAAUUCCAGCUCCAAUAGCGUAUAUUAAAGUUGUUGCAGUUAAAAAGCUCGUAGUUGAAUUUCGGGGUUCUACCGUCGGUCGGGCUACCAAGUCUGUACUGGUGUGUAGAACUUCUACCUUCUGGGGAACCGUCAUGUUAUUAAUUUAGCGUGGUGGGAAACCAGGACCUUUACCUUGAAAAAAUUAGAGUGUUCAAAGCAGGCUUACGUCUGAAUACAUUAGCAUGGAAUAAUAGAAUAGGACGGUGGUCCUGUUUUGUUGGUUUCUGAAUCACCGUAAUGAUUAAUAGGGAUAGUUGGGGGCAUUAGUAUUCAAUUGUCAGAGGUGAAAUUCUUGGGUUUAUUGAAGACUAACUUCUGCGAAAGCAUUUGCCAAGGAUGUUUUCAUUAAUCAAGAACGAAAGUUAGGGGAUCGAAGACGAUCAGAUACCGUCGUAGU
rnacentral:rRNA from 1 species